AACGCGAAGAACCUUACCUGGGUUUGACAUGCACAGGACGCCGGCAGAGAUGUCGGUUCCCUUGUGGCCUGUGUGCAGGUGGUGCAUGGCUGUCGUCAGCUCGUGUCGUGAGAUGUUGGGUUAAGUCCCGCAACGAGCGCAACCCUUGUCUCAUGUUGCCAGCGCGUUAUGGCGGGGACUCGUGAGAGACUGCCGGGGUCAACUCGGAGGAAGGUGGGGAUGACGUCAAGUCAUCAUGCCCCUUAUGUCCAGGGCUUCACACAUGCUACAAUGGCCGGUACAAAGGGCUGCGAUGCCGUGAGGCUUAGCGAAUCCUUUAAAGCCGGUCUCAGUUCGGAUCGGGGUCUGCAACUCGACCCCGUGAAGUCGGAGUCGCUAGUAAUCGCAGAUCAGCAACGCUGCGGUGAAUACGUUCCCGGGCCUUGUA
rnacentral:rRNA from 1 species